rnacentral:rRNA from 1 species
GACGAACGCUGGCGGCGUGCUUAACACAUGCAAGUCGAGCGGUAAGGCCCUUUCGGGGGUACACGAGCGGCGAACGGGUGAGUAACACGUGGGUGACCUGCCCUCAGCUCUGGGAUAAGCCCGGGAAACUGGGUCUAAUACCGGAUAUGACUUCAUGACGCAUGUUGUGGAGUGGAAAGCCUUGUGCGGCUGAGGAUGGGCCCGCGGCCUAUCAGCUUGUUGGUGGGGUGANGGCCUACCAAGGCGACGACGGGUAGCCGGCCUGAGAGGGCGACCGGCCACACGUGGG